rnacentral:rRNA from 1 species
CCUACGGGGGGCAGCAGUGGGGAAUAUUGGACAAUGGGGGCAACCCUGAUCCAGCCAUGCCGCGUGUGUGAAGAAGGCCCUCGGGUUGUAAAGCACUUUCAGUGAGGAAGAACGCCUGGUGGUUAAUACCCAUCAGGAAAGACAUCACUCACAGAAGAAGCACCGGCUAACUCCGUGCCAGCAGCCGCGGUAAUACGGAGGGUGCGAGCGUUAAUCGGAAUUACUGGGCGUAAAGCGCGCGUAGGUGGCUUGAUAAGCCGGUUGUGAAAGCCCCGGGCUCAACCUGGGAAUGGCAUCCGGAACUGUCAAGCUAGAGUGCAGGAGAGGAAGGUAGAAUUCCCGGUGUAGCGGUGAAAUGCGUAGAGAUCGGGAGGAAUACCAGUGGCGAAGGCGGCCUUCUGGACUGACACUGACACUGAGGUGCGAAAGCGUGGGUAGCAAACAGGAUUAGAUACCCGUGUAGUC